rnacentral:piRNA from 1 species
UCUGUUGGAAGUGAAAGUGAAAG